rnacentral:rRNA from 1 species
CCCGGUGCCUUGCGGGGUAAACGGCGGUGUUAAACCUUAAAGUAGCGUGAUAAGUCGGCCUUUAAUUGGGGUCUGGUAUGAAGGGGUUGACGUCGGAAAAGCUGUCUCAGAAAGACUAAGUGAAAUUUACUUUUAAGUGAAAAGGCUUAAAUAAGGAUAAAAGACGAGAAGGCCCUGUCGAGCUUGAGGGAUUUGAAUGUUUAGCAACGUGAUUAGGAGUUUGGCUGGGGCAGCAAUGGAGAUAGCCUCCGUUUUUAAAGCAAAGAUCCAUUAUGUUCAAAAUAAUGAAAAAAGGAAAAAGUUACCGCAGGGAUAACAGCACAAGACCGCCUCAGAGGUCGUAUCGAAGGCGGUAAGUGUGACCUCGAUGUUGGAUUAGGGUAAACCUCUUUGUGCAGGAGCAAAGCGGG